rnacentral:rRNA from 1 species
UACGGAGGGUGCGAGCGUUAAUCGGAAUUACUGGGCGUAAAGCGCGCGUAGGUGGCUUGAUAAGCCGGUUGUGAAAGCCCCGGGCUCAACCUGGGAACGGCAUCCGGAACUGUCAAGCUAGAGUGCAGGAGAGGGAGGUAGAAUUCCCGGUGUAGCGGUGAAAUGCGUAGAGAUCGGGAGGAAUACCAGUGGCGAAGGCGGCCUUCUGGACUGACACUGACACUGAGGUGCGAAAGCGUGGGUAGCAAACAGG